rnacentral:rRNA from 1 species
CCUAUGUGUGGCAGCAGUGGGGGAUAUUGCACAAUGGGGGAAACCCUGAUGCAGCGACGCCGCGUGUGUGAAGACGGUCCUCUGGAUUGUAAACCACUGUCCCCAGGGACGAAGAUGACGGUACCUGGGGAGGAAGCUCCGGCUAACUACGUGCCAGCAGCCGCGGUAAUACGUGGGGAGCGAGCGUUGUCCGGACUUACUGGGUGUAAAGGCAUCGUAGGCGGGGAUGAAAGUUGGGUGUAAAACCUACCGGCUCAACUGGUAGUCGCACUCAAAACUGCAGCUCUUGAGUGAAGUAGAGGCAGGCGGAAUUCCUGGUGUAGCGGUGAAAUGCGUAGAUAUUAGGAGGAACACCAGUGGCGAAGGCGGCCUGCUGGGCUUUUACUGACGCUGAGGCUCGAAAGUGUGGGGAGCAAACAGGAUUAGAUACCCGUGUAGUC